rnacentral:rRNA from 1 species
CCGAUGGCGACCGGCGCACGGGUGAGUAACACGUAUCCAACCUGCCGAUAACUCGGGGAUAGCCUUUCGAAAGAAAGAUUAAUAUCCGAUAGCAUAUCAAGACCGCAUGAUCUUGAUAUUAAAGAAUUUCGGUUAUCGAUGGGGAUGCGUUCCAUUAGUUAGUUGGCGGGGUAACGGCCCACCAAGACGACGAUGGAUAGGGGUUCUGAGAGGAAGGUCCCCCACAUUGGAACUGAGACACGGUCCAAACUCCUACGGAAGGCAGCAG